rnacentral:rRNA from 1 species
GAUGAACGCUGGCGGCGUGCUUAACACAUGCAAGUCGAACGGUGUAGGCGGAGCUUGCUCUGCUGGAUCAGUGGCGAACGGGUGAGUAACACGUGAGCAAUCUGCCCCUGACUCUGGGAUAAGCGCUGGAAACGGCGUCUAAUACUGGAUACGAGCUGCGAAGGCAUCUUCAGCAGCUGGAAAGAACUUCGGUCAGGGAUGAGCUCGCGGCCUAUCAGCUUGUUGGUGAGGUAACGGCUCACCAAGGCGUCGACGGGUAGCCGGCCUGAGAGGGUGACCGGCCACACUGGGACUGAGACACGGCCCAGACUCCUACGGGAGGCAGCAGUGGGGAAUAUUGCACAAUGGGCGAAAGCCUGAUGCAGCAACGCCGCGUGAGGGACGACGGCCUUCGGGUUGUAAACCUCUUUUAGCAGGGAAGAAGCGAAAGUGACGGUACCUGCAGAAAAAGCGCCGGCUAACUACGUG